rnacentral:rRNA from 1 species
CGACACGUCUCCGUUGAUGAUUUUAGGUGCUUGCACUUGAAAGAUUUAACAUUGAGACGAGUGGCGAACUGGUGAGUAACACGUGGGUAACCUGCCCUUGAAGUAGGGGAUAACACUUGGAAACAGGUGCUAAUACCGUAUAACAACCAAAACCACCUGGUUUUGGUUUAAAAGACGGCUUCGGCUGUCACUUUAGGAUGGACCCGCGGCGCAUUAGCUUGUUGGUAAGGUAACGGCUUACCAAGGCGAUGAUACGUAGCCGACCUGAGAGGGUAAUCGGCCACAUUGGGACUGAGACACGGCCCAAACUCCUACGGGAGGCAGCAGUAGGGAAUCUUCCACAAUGGACGAAAGUCUGAUGGAGCAACGCCGCGUGAGUGAUGAAGGGUUUCGGCUCGUAAAACUCUGUUGUUGGAGAAGAACAGGUGUCAGAGUAACUGUUGACAUCUUGACGGUAUCCAACCAGAAAGCCACGGCUAACUACGUGCCAGCAGCCGCGGUAAUACGUAGGUGGCAAGCGUUGUCCGGAUUUAUUGGGCGUAAAGCGAGCGCAGGCGGUUUUUUAGGUCUGAUGUGAAAGCCUUCGGCUUAACCGGAGAAGUGCAUCGGAAACCGGGAGACUUGAGUGCAGAAGAGGACAGUGGAACUCCAUGUGUAGCGGUGAAAUGCGUAGAUAUAUGGAAGAACACCAGUGGCGAAGGCGGCUGUCUGGUCUGUAACUGACACUGAGGCUCGAAAGCAUGGGUAGCGAACAGGAUUAGAUACCCUGGUAGUCCAUGCCGUANACGAUGAGUGCUAAGUGUUGGAGGGUUUCCGCCCUUCAGUGCUGCAGCUAACGCAUUAAGCACUCCGCCUGGGGAGUACGAC